GACGAACGCUGGCGGCGUGCCUAAUACAUGCAAGUCGAGCGAACAGAUAAGGAGCUUGCUCCUUUGACGUUAGCGGCGGACGGGUGAGUAACACGUGGGUAACCUACCUAUAAGACUGGAAUAACUCCGGGAAACCGGGGCUAAUGCCGGAUAACAUUUAGAACCGCAUGGUUCUAAAGUGAAAGAUGGUUUUGCUAUCCCUUAUAGAUGGACCCGCGCCGUAUUAGCUAGUUGGUAAGGUAACGGCUUACCAAGGCAACGAUACGUAGCCGACCUGAGAGGGUGAUCGGCCACACUGGAACUGGGACACGGUCCAGACUCCUACGGGAGGCAGCAGUAGGGAAUCUUCCGCAAUGGGCGAAAGCCUGACGGAGCAACGCCGCGUGGGUGAUGAGGGUCUUCGGAUCGUAAAACUCUGUUAUUAGGGAAAAACAAAUGUGUAAGUAACUGUGCACGUCUUGACGGUACCUAAUCAGAAAGCCACGGCUAACUACGUG
rnacentral:rRNA from 1 species